AGACAGUAGAGUAAAGCCUUAUCUACUGAGUCUCUCUGUCUCGAGGUAGACAGUAGAGUAAAGCCUUAUCUACUGAGUCUCUCUGUCUCGAGGUAGACAGUAGAGUAAAGCCUUAUCUACUGAGUCUCUAUGUCUCGAGGUAGACAGUAGAGUAAAGCCUUAUCUACUGAGUCUCUCUGUCUCGAGGUAGACAGUAGAGUAAAGCCUUAUCUACUGAGUCUCUCUGUCUCGAGGUAGACAGUAGAGUAAAGCCUUAUCUACUGAGUCUCUAUGUCUCGAGGUAGACAGUAGAGUAAAGCCUUAUCUACUGAGUCUCUCUGUCUCGAGGUAGACAGUAGAGUAAAGCCUUAUCUACUGAGUCUCUCUGUCUCGAGGUAGACAGUAGAGUAAAGCCUUAUCUACUGAGUCUCUCUGUCUCGAGGUAGACAGUAGAGUAAAGCCUUAUCUACUGAGUCUCUAUGUCUCGAGGUAGACAGUAGAGUAAAGCCUUAUCUACUGAGUCUCUAUGUCUCGAGGUAGACAGUAGAGUAAAACCUUAUCUACUGAGUCUCUCUGUCUCGAGGUAGACAGUAGAGUAAAGCCUUAUCUACUGAGUCUCUAUGUCUCGAGGUAGACAGUAGAGUAAAGCCUUAUCUACUGAGUCCCAAGGUAUUCAGCUCUAUGUCUCGAGGUAGACAGUAGAGUAAAGCCUUAUCUACUGAGUCCCAAGGUAUUCAGCUCUAUGUCUCAAGGUAGACAGUAGAGUAAAGCCUUAUCUACUGAGUCUCUCUGUCUCGAGGUAGACAGUAGAGUAAAGCCUUAUCUACUGAG